CAUAAGCGGAGGAAAAGAAACCAACAGGGAUUGCCUCAGUAACGGCGAGUGAAGCGGCAAGAGCUCAAAUUUGAAAGCUGGCUCCUUCGGGGUCCGCAUUGUAAUUUGCAGAGGAUGCUUCGGGAGUGGCCCCCAUCUAAGUGCCCUGGAACGGGCCGUCAUAGAGGGUGAGAAUCCCGUCUGGGAUGGGGUGUCCACGCCCGUGUGAAGCUCCUUCGACGAGUCGAGUUGUUUGGGAAUGCAGCUCUAAAUGGGUGGUAAAUUUCAUCUAAAGCUAAAUACUGGCCGGAGACCGAUAGCGCACAAGUAGAGUGAUCGAAAGAUGAAAAGCACUUUGAAAAGAGAGUUAAACAGCACGUGAAAUUGUUGAAAGGGAAGCGCUUGCGACCAGACUCGCCCACGGGGUUCAGCCGGCAUUCGUGCCGGUGUACUUCCCCGCGGGCGGGCCAGCGUCGGUUUGGGCGGCCGGUCAAAGGCCCUCGGAAUGUAACGCCCCCCGGGGCGUCUUAUAGCCGAGGGUGCCAUGCGGCCAGCCCGGACCGAGGAACGCGCUUCGGCUCGGACGCUGGCAUAAUGGUCGUAAGCGACCCGUCUUGAAACACGGACCAAGGAGUCUAACAUUUACGCGAGUGUUCGGGUGUCAAACCCGUGCGCGCAGUGAAAGCGAACGGAGGUGGGAACCCCUCGGGGCGCACCAUCGACCGAUCCUGAUGUCUUCGGAUGGAUUUGAGUAAGAGCGUAGCUGUUGGGACCCGAAAGAUGGUGAACUAUGCCUGAAUAGGGCGAAGCCAGAGGAAACUCUGGUGGAGGCUCGCAGCGGGUUCUGACGUGCAAAUCGAUCGUCGAAUUUGGGUAUAGGGGGCGAAAGACUAAUCGAACCAUCUAGUAGCUGGUUCUGC
rnacentral:rRNA from 1 species